UACAGAGGGGGCAAGCGUUAUUCGGAAUUAUUGGGCGUAAAGGGCGCGUAGGCGGCUUUUCAAGUGGCGGGUGAAAGCCCUCGGCUUAACCGAGGAACUGCCUGCCAGACUGAAUGGCUUGAGACCGGGAGAGGUGAGUGGAAUUCCCAGUGUAGCGGUGAAAUGCGUAGAUAUUGGGAGGAACACCAGUGGCGAAGGCGGCUCACUGGACCGGUACUGACGCUGAGGCGCGAAAGCGUGGGGAGCAAACAGG
rnacentral:rRNA from 1 species